rnacentral:rRNA from 1 species
UACGUAGGGGGCAAGCGUUGUCCGGAUUUAUUGGGCGUAAAGAGCGUGUAGGCGGUUUGGUAGGUCCGCUGUGAAAACUCGAGGCUCAACCUCGAGACGCCGGUGGAAACCAUCAGACUAGAGUCCGGAAGAGGAGAGUGGAAUUCCUGGUGUAGCGGUGAAAUGACGCAGAUAUCAGGAGGAACACCGGUGGCGAAGGCGGGUCUCUGGGCCGAUACUGACGCUGAGGAGCGAAAGCGUGGGGAGCGAACAGG